rnacentral:rRNA from 1 species
UACGUAGGGUCCGAGCGUUGUCCGGAAUUAUUGGGCGUAAAGAGCUCGUAGGCGGUUCAGUAAGUCGGGUGUGAAAACUUUGGGCUUAACCCAAAGCGUGCAUCUGAUACUGCUGUGACUUGAGUUCGGUAGGGGAGUGGGGAAUUCCUAGUGUAGCGGUGAAAUGCGUAGAUAUCUGGAGGAACACCGGUGGCGAAGGCGGCAUCCUGGACCGACACUGACGCUGAGGAGCGAAAGCCAGGGGAGCAAACGGG